rnacentral:rRNA from 1 species
AUGAUACCUGUUUCACGACCGCCGAACACUAACAUUCAGUUAGUCUCAGAGCUUAUUGAUUAUGAUAGCUGGUCUUGGAGACAGGAUUUGAUCAGAGACAACUUCAUUGCUUCUGAUGCUGCAGCCAUUCUUAACAUUCCUAUCCGGUCGGGUGGAGGUAAUGAUUUCCCUGCUUGGGCAUUCAAAAAAUCAGGUAACUACACUGUGAAAACGGCGUACCGCUCUCUUGUGACUCAUAACGAGCGUCUGGCUCUAGAGGAAGGGACGGCUACCGGGACCUCAUUGAGUGAUCAACAGCUGUGCAAAGCCCUGUGGAAGUUGAAUGUUAUUCCAAAAGUUAGAGUGUUC